GAUGAACGCUGGCGGCGUGCCUAACACAUGCAAGUCGAGCGAACGGACGAGAAGCUUGCUUCUCUGAUGUUAGCGGCGGACGGGUGAGUAACACGUGGAUAACCUACCUAUAAGACUGGGAUAACUUCGGGAAACCGGAGCUAAUACCGGAUGAUAUUUUGAACCGCAUGGUUCAAAAGUGAAAGACGGUCUUGCUGUCACUUAUAGAUGGAUCCGCGCUGCAUUAGCUAGUUGGUAAGGUAACGGCUUACCAAGGCAACGAUGCAUAGCCGGCCUGAGAGGGUGAUCGGCCACACUGGAACUGAGACACGGUCCAGACUCCUACGGGAGGCAGCAGUAGGGAAUCUUCCGCAAUGGGCGAAAGCCUGACGGAGCAACGCCGCGUGAGUGAUGAAGGUCUUCGGAUCGUAAAACUCUGUUAUUAGGGAAGAACAUAUGUGUAAGUAACUGUGCACAUCUUGACGGUACCUAAUGAGAAAGCCACGGCUAACUACGUG
rnacentral:rRNA from 1 species